CACCCAAUUUUGACCCUCCUUUAUUCCAAUUCAUUUUCUUGAGCUUCUAAAUUAUUAAUAAAUUAAAUAUCUUAUUUUUCGCCCUUACUUUAUUACAAUUUCUACUAUAUUAUUAUCGUUAAGUAUUAAUACGUACAUCGCUACUUACUUAUUAUGUAUUAAUCAUAAGAUAUAACUUAGAUAAUAUUUUUUUACUCUAUUAUUACUUUACUUAUAUUUUAUUAAAUUACACCUUAUUAAUGUUAAUUGCUAAAUUAUUACUAUUAUCACACAGAUAUAUAUAUAUAUAUAUAUAUAGUAUUUUGUUAAUACAAAGAAGACUAAAAGAAAUUAAUUAGAAGAGGGAAAUGCCCAACAAAUUAAGCCAUUCAAGCCCACUUUUACGCCCAAGAUAUCAGCCCAAAUAAAGAGCCCAGACCUACUAAUUUAACCAUUUGAAAUGACCGAAUUACCCCACUUGGAAUUCAAAUCAGCUAGGUUUCUGAAUCUCUCUAGCUGCGCACACAAGCUUUCUUUUCCCCUUUGAUGAAAGCUUGGACUUUCACAACUAUGGCUGAUAUCUUGUCUUGUCAUUUUGGGUAAGGCUUGAAGCAAAUCUUGACUUUUACAACCAAAUCACGUGAAGUUCAGCCUAAUCUACAACGUUCAAAUUUCAAAUCUCUGACCAAGACCUUCAUCUCGAUUUCCCGCUCAAGAGUUAAAUUCUAAGAAGCCCUAGCUUCCUGCUAUAAAUACUCCUCUUUGGAGUCCAAUAGAGAGGGAGAUUAGCCGCCUCUUCAUAUCUUGAGAAAAUAACAUUGAUACUUCUUCACUCUCACCAUUGUUAGUGUCUCUCAAAAAGCUCUAAAACAUUAUUACCAAAAAUUUCUUUCUGUCUCGAUAGAACUUUAACCGCAACAGAGGUAUUCUAAUUUUUUCGACUCAAGUUUCGAAUCUGUUUCAUAACGAGAGAGUAGAUUCGAGGCCGUCGACGUCCCGUUCACUGCACCCACAAGAGGUAUGAAGACUUUACAUUGGAGUUCGCUUUGAUCAACGACGGAUGAGAACCGACGACAUCUCAAAAUGGAGCCAAGAAAUUUAGACAUGACAAAUUGUAUUUACUUUACUUAGAUUAGGAAGUACUUUAUGUUAUAUUCAUUUGAUAUGUAAUAAAUAUUACAUUACUUUUGUACUUUAUUUUGGGAAAUAGAAUUUUUUUAAUUAGCCAAGAUCAAUGGGAUGACGUAUUAUGGCA